UACGUAGGGUGCGAGCGUUGUCCGGAAUUAUUGGGCGUAAAGAGCUCGUAGGCGGUCUGUCGCGUCGAUCGUGAAAACUUGGGGCUUAACCCUGAGCUUGCGGUCGAUACGGGCAUGACUGGAGUUCGGCAGGGGAGACUGGAAUUCCUGGUGUAGCGGUGAAAUGCGCAGAUAUCAGGAGGAACACCGGUGGCGAAGGCGGGUCUCUGGGCCGUACCUGACGCUGAGGCGCGAAGGCUAGGGGAGCGAACGGG
rnacentral:rRNA from 1 species